rnacentral:lncRNA from 1 species
UGUGGCCGAUGAGCCCAGUGAGACCAGUUUAAGCAGCGCAGCAGUUCAUGGAUGGAAGAAGAGUCCUCGUUUCAGAACACCUAAACACGAAGAUCUUACAAAUGCUGUUAGGAGAGCUGGCGUGCAGGAGGAAUGAAUCUGGUCUGUCUUCUGUGAUUCUUGACCCACCUAAUUGGCUAAUGGCCACAAGCAAUAACAGCACGGCUCAGGGGAGCAGCGCUGGGGAGAGCUGCAGCCGCUCGGGGCAGAGGAGCACUGCGCCGUACCAAAGGCAUUGCAUGUGA